rnacentral:misc_RNA from 1 species
GGGAGGUGUAAAGGAUAUGUCAGCUUCAGGUGGAUUGCGCGAUUGGACUUCUCCUUUUGCAGGAAAUGAUCUAUUCAGUGCACCCAGGCAGCUUGUUACAUCUCCAUUUCCUUAGGUUUUGGGGGAGAUUAAAGUGUAAACAUUUGUGCCUGAUUGUUACUAUGGACUUUUCCUGUUGUUUAUUUGUAGUUUGCCAAAUGAAGAAGGUGCAUC